rnacentral:snRNA from 1 species
GCCGUCACACGGAAUCGA